GACGAACGCUGGCGGCGUGCCUAAUACAUGCAAGUAGAACGCAGUUGCGAACGGGUGAGUAACGCGUAGGUAACUGCCUCAUAGCGGGGGAUAACUCUUGGAAACGAUAGCUAAUACCGCAUCCUGUGAGAUGGACCUGCGUUGUAUUAGCUAGUUGGUGGGGUAAAGGCUCACCAAGGCGACGCUACAUAGCCGACCUGAGAGGCUGUUAGGCGACACUAAGAAUGAGAAACGACCCAGACACCUACGGGAGGCAGCAGUAGGGGAGCUUCGGCAAUGGACGGAAGUCUGACCGAGCAACGCCGCGUGAGUAAAGAAGGGUUUCGGAUCGUAAAGCUCAUUUGUUAGAGAAUCAGUAACUAACCAGAAAGGGACGGCUAACUACAUGCCAGCAGCCGCGGUAAUUC
rnacentral:rRNA from 1 species